rnacentral:lncRNA from 1 species
CUUCUUCUUCUCCUUCCUCUUUAGAAUUUUCAUGUGGCAUUUUUUAAUGUAAUGCAUCAAAUGGUAACGUGAAUGCCUUGAAUUUAAUCGUUCUCUCACAUCAGGAUUUGCAGUAAGCCAGUCUAUAAUUUCCUUCGAUUUAAUCACCUCAUCCGUGUCUAGAGUGUUCUCUCACGUCAGGAUUUGCAGUAAGCCAGUCUAUAAUUUCCUUCGAUUUAAUCACCUCAUCCGUGUCUAGAGAUUCUAACCAGGAAUAAACAGGCAUCCACUGAUCAGUUCGUUGAAAUCGAUGAUCAAAAUUUUC